rnacentral:tRNA from 1 species
UUUGAGUUAGCAAAAUUAAUGUGUUUGAUUUAGGAUCAAAAGGUAAGAUAGUAUCUUAUUCAAAA